ACGGGUGAGUAACGCGUAUCCAACCUUCCCCUUAGUAGGGCAUAGCCCGGCGAAAGUCGGAUUAAUACCCUAUGUUAUCCGUCGAGGGGCAUCUGAAGUGGAUUAAAGAUUUAUCGCUAAGGGAUGGGGGAUGCGUCUGAUUAGGUUGUUGGCGGGGUAACGGCCCACCAAGCCUACGAUCAGUAGGGUUCUGAGAGGAAGGUCCCCCACAUUGGUACUGAGACACGGACCAAACUCCUACGGGAGGCAGCAGUGAGGAAUAUUGGUCAAUGGGCGAGAGCCUGAACCAGCCAAGUAGCGUGCAGGAUGACCGGCCCUAUGGGUUGUAAACUGUCUUUUGCAGUGGGAAUAAAGUCGGGGACGUGUCCCCGUUUGUAUGUACCAUGAGAAUAAGGACCGGCUAAUUCCGUGCCAGCAGCGGC
rnacentral:rRNA from 1 species